AUAAAGAAGUCUCAUUUCACUCUCAUUCUGAUGGUGUUUUCUCUGGAGGCACAAUAAGAAACAAGACACAGUGGAUUAUGGAUCUGGAGAACUGUGGUUCACCCCAGCUUUGUUCCUUACGUGUCACAUGACCUUGGAUAGGUCACUUCACCCUUCCAGGCCCUGGUUCUCCUGCUCUAAAAGUCAAGGCAUUGAAUGAGGUGAUCCCCAAGGCCAUCUCCAGCUUUAAACCUUGUGAAACAUUGAGAAGCUGGCAGUUAUGAUGGUCUGAGUUUAAAAACCUAGAAUUUCUCCAUUAGGAGGGGAAUUUAGUUGUGAUUAGAGGGAAAAAAGAUGCAUUCUAUUUGUUUCCUAAAUUGUUAAAGACAUGAUUGACUGUAAGAAAGAAAAUGCUCAAACCCUCAGGAAACAUUACAUUUUAUAGUGUACCCUCUUGUCCAUUGAGGAACAUUUGCAAUCUGUUUAGGGUAGUGACUGAAUCAUUGCCACAACUUUGUACCACAGGCAAGAAUGUUCUGUUGCUGAAGAGCACCUGGAAACAGAUGGCUGAGCUGGCGGACAGCUAUGCAAAUGGGCCUGCAAGGGCGAGGCCAAGGCCAUGCCAUGGGGCCUCCCUGAAUGGACCCGGACAAUUAUGCCUGCCCAGAGAACCCUCCCUGCUAAGGGUCUCAAAAACUCAGAGACAUGGGUUAUAGAUCUAGGAAGGGAUCUUGAGGUCAUUUCAGCUCAAUUGCUCAACCACUGAUUUUUGAAAACCUAAUUUUAGCAUCUUCAGACUAAAUCAGAGUUUGUUCAUGUUUGAAGUUCUGGUAAGAACUAUAAAAACUAUUAAAAAGCUUCUGCACUGCAAGAGGAACCACCAACAGAGCUAAGAGACAACCUACAAUGUGGGGAAAACAUUUUCAGCAGCUGUACCUCAGACAAAGGACUACUAUCUAGAAUAUAUAAAGAACCGAAAAAAAUCAGACCCCCCC
rnacentral:lncRNA from 1 species